rnacentral:lncRNA from 1 species
CUCUGUCUCAAACAAACAAACACCAGACAGGGAGACAGAGAGAGCAGGAGGGGAGUGGGAGCUCUGGAAGGCAUCUGAGAGCCAGGCAGGGACACGCCUCUGUGGACACUGGGAGGUUCUGGGACCUUAGCUCCAGACAGGCCGGUUACUUUGUAACCCCCCACUGUGUCCUGCAGCUGAUCCUUCAGGAGAGAAGGGCUAGAGACUGGUGUUCAGGGUCAGUGAGCACAUAAACAGAUGUCCUGGGAGUCAUUUGGGAGAGAAAAAGAGGACAUCCCAGGUUUUUGUGCCCACAGGAAAGACAAUAUCACUCUCACCACAUGAUUGAAAGAGCCAAGUAUGAGAAGAUAAAUGAGGAGACGCUUGGAGAAGUACAGGGGCACCACCAACACUUAAGCCUCCAUCUUCAGGCAAGAAAGUCUGUGAUAUGAAUGAAGGGAUCAUAAAAGGCACAUGGAAUCAAAGCUUUUGGUCAACUGCCAACAAGGUACAGAGGCCCAACAGCAAUCAUCGAAUGAACUUGGAAGUGGAUCCUCUCACCCCAGUUGAGCCUUCUGAUGACUGCAGCCCUGGCUGAUGCUUGACUACAACUUCAUCAGAAAUCCUCAUGAAGAUCCAGCACCUUCCAGUUAGCCCAUCUAUGAGAAAACCAAUGCUCCGAUGAGUGCAGUGACUUCCCAUGCCUGUGGAGAGUCUAUGCCUUUGAUUGGAUCCCCAGAGGUGGUUUUCACUUGCCCCCCAUUGCCUAUACCAUGUUGCCUUCCUGGAGUUGGUGGCCUUUGAGCUGGGCCUGGAAGAUUGGGUAGGACUUUAUGAAGUGGGGAUGGAGAGACAAGCUGUGCGAUGGGGAUGAAGAAGAUAACCCAGGUCAGAGGGAACAGCAUAAGCAAAGGUAUGUGAAGGGGAAAGAAUUCAACACCUCCAGGCAAUGGUGAGGAUGUCGCUGAGUUCUCUUUCACUUAUCUGCAUGUCAGUCAUGACCCCUGGAUGCCAGCUCCUGAUGGGUCAUCUGCCUACCCUAGAACUUCCCAGCAUCUAGCAUCCCAGACCUUCCCAGAGUCUACAAGAAAAGAAACCUAGGCAUCAGGAUGUCAGUUCUGGUCUGAGUCCUGUCCUCUGCUGACUUUACACCAGCACAAUCUAGCAGGGAGACUUAAUGUCUUCUCCUCCCAGCUUCCUGGUACAGUGUAAGAAAGUAAGCUUGCAGAUGCAAAUGCUUGUGGCUCUUCAUUGACCAGAGGCUAUAUUAGGGGAGAGGACUUCCCUGGGACCCCCACAGGGCCUGGAAAACCCCUCUGGCCCUGACUUGCUCCACCCCUUGGCUCUUGACCCAUUUCUCUCUUGGGUAACUCCUGAGUCUCCUCACCAUGUCCAGUUUGGAAGACUUUAGGCACAAGGACCUCGUCUUUUCCUUCAGAUCUUGGCUCAACCAAGAGGCGGACUCACCGUGAUGUGAAUGCAGCUUGAGCAUCCAGGACUCUCCCCAGAUCCAGGGAGGGCCUCAGCGAUGUGUUCACGUUGUCAUAUUUUUAUAAAAUUUGCAAAGGUAAGAUACUUUAACCACAAUCAAAAUUACUAUUUUCUUCCCACUCCAACUUCCCUUGUGUUUCAAUUUUCCUUUAUGUGGGAUAAUUGGAGUGGCCAUGGGCACUUCUGGGAUCUGACCAAGGGGAAGCUGAGUGGGGGACUGAUUUGAGUUGGGUUCACUGGGAUAUGUUUAUGUGGUUUUCUGAAACAGAGGAUAUAUUAAUAUUUAUGUGGUUCUCUGUGUAUAGAUAAAUCAUUGCUAGUAAUCUCUGUGUAGAGAAUAGCUUCUAGGAAUUCUACCCACUGCCCAGCUCACUUGGCAUGGUGAUAUUAAGUUGCCAUAUGCAGAGGUCAUAUCGUGAUAUGAAUGUGUGUCAUGGCACCCAGCCCAGGAAGUAUAUGGGCAGUAGACAAGAAACAGGAGAAACCAGGUUUGAAAUGUACAGAGCCAGAAGCUAGUCUGUGGAAAAUUCUUCUAAUCAUCAGGGGGAGAAAAUGUGUCUCAGAGGUUAAGCAGGGCAGUUAAUAAAAGUAUUACGCAUUUUGGGGGGAUUGUGUGAUGUAUCUGUUUUGAUUUCUUUUCUCAUUAUAGGUAAAUAUAGGUACCUUGUACCUAAUUUUAUAUUCAUAAUUUUGUAUAUUUUUCUUAAAGAGGGCUCCUCAAAUUAUAAAACCUUCAGUUCCCACAAGGUCUACACAUCCAACCUUGGCUCCAUCAUUUAUUUUCUGUGUGAUCUUGGGGAAGUCACUUGUGCUUUCUGAGCCAGUUUCCUCUUCUAUAAAAU